GGAAUCUAUUGGGUUUACCUUGUGUGGAAUCUAUUAUUCCACACAAGGUAAACCCAAUAGAUUCCACACAAGGUAAACCCAAUAGAUU
rnacentral:pre_miRNA from 1 species